CAUCAGACACGAAGGAGAGGCCAACAGAUGAGGGAAGCCAUUUUUCUGCAAUGGAAUUAAAUGGCCAAGCCCAAGGACUCACAGUUGGAAGACUGGAGAAGACUUUUUAAAAAGAUCUGGAUUUUUCCUUAUGACUUGGAAUCCAUCUUUGUCUUGUAUAACUAGGUCAUAGCACACCAUUCAUGUCAGCAGUUAACAGUUUUGAAUUCCAAAAAAACCUAAAGCAGUAAACAGUCCUCAGCGAAGCCGCCUUUUUGCCUACCCAACCCUGGAAAGUUUGCAGAAGUGGAAGGAGCAGAACGUGAGGGUGUAACUUACAAAAAGGUUCUGGGCCGGAGAAGGGGCGACGUUCGGGCACCCCCCGAAUGGACAAUCUUUCCUUCUGUCAACGGCAGGGGCAGGCCUAGUUUGACUCUGACAGUCCUCCCACUAAGGAAUUCCUGGUGACUGGAAGGGGGAGUGACUCAGGCCCUCAACCUCUAGCAGAGUGCCUUGGCUCCCUCCUGUCGUCCUGGGGAACCUCGGCCCCAGCCCUGCCUCCCCAGCCAGUCACAGCUCCUCCCUGGUCACCCUGAGGGAGCUCAGGGCCCGGCUGGUAGCUGGGUUGCUCUGCUUCUGUCCCCCACUCCUGUGGAGCCUGGCAGGCAACUCCAUGAUCUGACCCCGGUUACCUUGACAGCCCUGCCUGGCCUCCCCUCUCAUGGCCCAGCCACCCCAGAACCUGAAGAGGUUUUCUAGCUGCCGUGCAUUUGCCAGGCUGGGUUACCCACCCUACUUUCCCUGCCUGCCCUCCAGUGCUGCCAGGCCUAGUGUGCCAGCCAGCGCUCAGCCUUCAGUAAAGGGUUCCCCUGCUUCCAACCUCCAUUGCACUGCUUCCCCUAAGACUGUGACCUCCUGGAAGGCUGGAGCACAACUGCCUCUCAAUAAACGUGUUGCAAAAAAGGAAAAAAAAAAAAAAAAAA
rnacentral:lncRNA from 1 species